rnacentral:hammerhead_ribozyme from 1 species
AUCCAGCUGAGGACUCCUAAAAUAGGACGAAACGCGCAUCCUGGAU